rnacentral:rRNA from 1 species
CUCGAAAGAGAACCUAGACACAGGUGCUGCAUGGCCGUCGUCAGCUCGUGUCGUGAGAUGUUGGGUUAAGUCCCGCAACGAGCGCAACCCUUGUCAUUAGUUGCUACGAAAGGGCACUCUAAUGAGACUGCCGGUGACAAACCGGAGGAAGGUGGGGAUGACGUCAGGUCAUCAUGGCCCUUAUGGGUAGGGCUACACACGUCAUACAAUGGCCGGGACAGAGGGCUGCCAACCCGCGAGGGGGAGCUAAUCCCAGAAACCCGGUCGUAGUCCGGAUCGCAGUCUGCAACUCGACUGCGUGAAGUCGGAAUCGCUAGUAAUCGCGGAUCAGCUUGCCGCGGUGAAUACGUUCCCGGGUCUUGUACACACCGCCCGUCACACCAUGGGAG